ACAAAUUACAGGGAAUCAUUUAAUCUCUUUUCAUGUUGGUUGGCCACGUUAUAGGGACUUCCAUUACUUAGUACACUUGUGGUUAAUAGAGAGGGGAAACUGAAUUAGUUCACCCUAUGCAUGGCCCCAUAGGAUCAAAUCAUGUAAAGUAAUGAAAAACAAAUGGUCUCUGUUGUUGUUUGUCUCUCUAUACAAAAAGACACAGAGAGUUCCAUUUGAAAAUUUAGGUUUGGACAUAUGAACCGACAACUUUUGGAACCCGGAUUUGAAGGAAGAUCUUCCUCCAAAGAAUAAGACAAAUAUCAUCAAGAUAAAAAUAAGGUCAAAUAAUGAGCCAAACAUUUUCAUCAUUAAAGAUGCUAAAAAUUCAGAAAAUAUCACAUAUUAUCCAUAGAUGUGGGUCUAUCUGCUGGAUCUGAUCUUGAACACACAGCAAUGAAACAUCUUACACUGCAUAUGCUAGGUCCUUCAAAUAGCUGAUCCAUCAAUUCUAGGCUUUUCCCUUCACUCCAUAAUCUCCAUGCCUGCAAAUGUAUUUCAGGAAGUUUAUAGAAUACUGUACACGAGGUGUUAUUCGCCAAGCUACGUUCAUCAAGGGAUGAAAAUUAUAGUUCAAACCAGACAGCAACGCACUUACAUAGAUAAGAAGGCUUUUUUUUUUUUUUUUUUUUCCAUUCAAAAGAUUGAAAUUCAUCCACUUAUGAUUUCAAGCAAAAGGACUCCACAGCAAUAGCAUCUGACCUUGCAGGGAAUUAACCUUCCCUUGUGUACUCUAGAACAGUAUACUACCUGCACAAAUUAAAACAAGCCACAUUCUUAGAAGAAACAGAGUAAUGUCUCACCACUUAUAUAUUGUCAUCAGUGUGACUUAAUAAAUAAGUUUUCAUUUAUGUGCUGGAAAAUUGUACAUGGGCAACAAUAAUAUUGGCUUCUAGUCUUUAUAUUCAGUUGGUGUAGCUGGAUUUACUAUGUUUUCUGUAAAUUAUAAGAAUCUAGUAAUAUAACAUUUUGAGACCUAGCUAGUGAGAAUAUUAAAAGUCCAAAACUAACUCUGGAACGGGAGAUGCCACUCAAGGCACAAAGGUCCAUCCCCGAGAAAAUAUUCCUUAAGUUGUGUACUUGUGGCUCAAUAAAAAGUUCCCUUCGACCUGUACAACUAUGAGAACCAGUUUCCUACACUCUGGCGAAUGGGAUUUUGAUGGUUCUGCUGUUGCUCUUACAAGGUGGGAAGUAUAUGAAUAGCUGUUAUUCGGUACAUUUUCGGUAUAGUGUAUUACGGUACAUUUGCUUGUACACUACACAAUCUUCCACGUGGACUCAAGUGGAAACUUGCUACCGGUUAGUCUAAAGUCAACAAAAAUUUGCUCUUAUUGUUUCUUGAAUUUUGUCAUCCAUAUAGCAAUUUUGUCAUCCAUACAGCUGUUUGUCAUCCAUACAGCUGCCACCUGUAUGUUUGACUGAAAAACUAAAAGAAACAAUAAAAAUUACAUAACCGGUUACCAAGUUGUCCUAGUCACAAUGUGUGGACGAAAAUGCUGCUCGCACCAUAAUGUACUGAGUUAAAAUGUAUUGAAUAAAUGGCUGUAUAUGAAGCCCGAAUGCAACUGAAAUACAUGGUUGGGUGUGGGUAUAUUAACCCACAGCUAGGUACAUAUUCACUGUCAGUUCUACAACUAAAGCUUCAAGCAACUCAGCAUCAAAGUCUUAUGGCGAUGAGUUCAGUUAAUCAAAAUGUUGUUAACUGGUGUUUGCAAUGAAGCUAAAUUUACUUAAUAAUGUCCUUCAUAAAUUUUCUAAGCCAUUUACAUAUUCUUUGGACUUUUAACCUAAAAUCAAGGUGAUUGGGCCGGGACUUAAAUGACUGGUUGAAAAUUUGAAAUAUAUAGAAGCCUACUCAUGUGGUCCGCAAGGAAAAUUACUUGUAGCCUAUGGGUCCUUUUGCAGCAAUAAGACCAUGAAUCCAUGAUAGAUAGAGUCUGUAAUAGAUCCUCUAGAACACUCUACUGGCACUGGGCUGGGUGUUUUCUAUGGUGGUCUUAGUGGUCGUCCCCUAAAGGUAUAUAUCCUAUUAGUUCUUGUGGUCUGGGCUAAAAUUUUGCUCAAGCAUGGGAUGGAUCCUUCAUCCCUACCACCAGCCUAAGUUGACCCAUCUGACACUGGCCUGCAGACCCAAAUAACUUUUCAUGAUACAAACUUCAGCUGCGUGAGAUUUCUGCUUUUCAAUGUCUAUCCAUCAAACUUUGACGGGAUUUUUAGACUUACCCCCCCCCCCCCUUUUAUGGUCACGUUUUGAGUACCCCCCUAUUUGUCCAAGUUUGGAUUUUACCCCUUCUGUUUCUGUCAAAUUUAACGUCAAUUUUGUUUAUAACUUCCCAAAAUGCCCUCGAUUGCUACUUUAGACUUAACCCCCCUAAAAAAAUUCAGUUAACAAAAUAUAACAAUUUUACUUACCGUUAUAUAAAUGGGGUUAAGUCUAAAAUAUGAGAGAGGGGUAUUUUAAGAAGAAAAAAAAAUGAAAAUAGACGUUAAAUUUGACAGAAGUAGACGGAGAGGGGGUAAAGUCUAAACUUGGACAAAUAGGGGGGGUUUACUCAAAACGUCCAUUAAAAAGAGGGGGGGGGGGGGGUUAAGUCUAAAAAUCCCAACUUUGAUCUCCACUUUUCAUAAUAUUUUUCACUUCCAUACCUACCCCUUAACACAUCCUUCGAAUAACCUAGCUUCUCUCUCCCUCUAUGAUCCACAGCUUGUGCAGUAACAACUUCUCUUCAUUUCUCGGUAGUACCACCACACACUCUAUGCAAGCUUUGUACAUACUCACUCCAUCCCUGGCGUCCACUCCCUACAUGUCACGUGUUAAGAUGACGUUAUUCAUCCUCCGCAACUCAACUCUUUCUUUUGAUCAAGGGUGAUUUAGGUUUUGGUCACCACUUUUUAGUAUAAAUUAGGCUUUGGAGCCGGUUUUUUUCUUUAUUAGGGUUUAGAGCUCAUUUUCGAACCAAGAACUAAAAAAACCCGGUUGAACCAAAAAUAUUUUCAAAUUAUCUAAGAUUACCCUGGAAUUUCGNNNNNNNNNNNNNNNNNNNNNNNNNNNNNNNNNNNNNNNNNNNNNNNNNNNNNNNNNNNNNNNNNNNNNNNNNNNNNNNNNNNNNNNNNNNNNNNNNNNNUUUGCAGCGCUAGCAGGGCAGUAACUUGAGGUGGCUUUGAAUUUGCGAAACAACACCCUAGCCACAUCAAGCCUUUCUAACACUAAGGUGGACUUGUCUAUCUUGGUCACCCUCCCUUAUUGCUUGAUAGCUAUGCUGUCAGGGGCGCCGCCUGAGCGCCUCUCAGCGCCGCCUAGGCGCUAUUUCUGGAGGGGGACGCUCCGCUAGGCAAAAACAACGCCUAAAACGCCUUGGGCCGCCUGGGCGGCGCUCAGGUCCAGCGCUCUGUUCAGAGCGGCCCAUUCAAAAGCGCUCACGGCGGCCCAAACUUAAAAAAGCCCAUUAAAAGUUAAGCUAAAAAAAAAGAAAAAAAAAAACUUGCGUUCUCUCUCUGGUCUCUCUCACGCUCUCUCUGGUCUCAUCUCUCCGGCUCUGCUGCUACUUCUUUCUCCGGCUCCGCUGCUGCUACUACUUCUAAAUUCUAAAUUCUAAUCUUCUAAGUUUCUUCAAAUCUUCCUAAAUCUAAUCUUCUUCUUCUUCUUUAAAUUUUUUUAAUUUUUCAAAUAAUUAAAAUUUAAAUCUUUUUCUUUUUUCAAUUGAAACUGUAAAUAUUUGAUUUGAAAAAUUAAAACUGUAGAUCUGAUCGGCGCCGCCUGAGCGGUGGAGGCGGUUCUCAGAAAUCUGGGCGCCUGGCGCUCCGCUCCACCUUUGACAGCAUAGCUUGAUAGUUAUUUAAUAAAUAAUCUCGGUAGACCAAAGAUUGGAAGUGGGAUCCACUUUUGCUUUUUGGAUACCCAUAAGGGUAAAUUGAAUUAAUAUGUUUCCCCUACCUUGUAAUCCAUAUUUUCCCUCCAUUGCCGAAUCACCUCCCUCUUAUUUGGUACCUAUUUCGCUCUAACAUCUGCAUCCAUUACUAAUAAAAUCUUCUUUUUUCUAGGAGCGAAUAACCAUAAUUUUAUUUUUGAAUUACCCAUACCAUGAUAGCUCCCGUCAACCACUCCCAUCCAAGAAGACUCGAUAGCAACGUAAUCAAAAUCACACCACACUGGAUACCUGUUGUUCCGUGAGGAAUGUGAUUGCUUCUAGAAUGCAAUGGUAGAUCAGUAGGGAAUGGGAAACAUGUGGAAUUGUGGCAUGAUUGUUAGAAUAACAAAAACUACAUUUAUCAUACGAAGCAAAUUCAGAAUGUCAAGCUAAGGGAGUAUAGAGACCUAGAUUAAAGGUAAAGUUUACAAUUUCUUCGGUGAUUCAAGAUAUUAGGACGGUAAAUCACAGAAUAGACUGGCACCGAAUGAUAUGAAUGACCAUCAAUAUCCUAUGAAUACUACAAAUGCUUGGAAGUUGAUCCAAAGAUGUGUAACAAUAAACGAAGAUUUACAAAGUAAAUGAGUAACUUAAGCAAGCCUAUAAAUGAGGGUCAAUGCCUUUGUUUGUCUGUGUUGGGUUUAAAUGUUUUGUGUAAUCAAAAUGACAAUAGAGGACCUUAAACAUCUCAUCUGGGGGUGCCCCUACGCUAAAUAUUUUUGGGUGAUAAAUUUCAAAUAAGGCCUAAAGGAAGGAACUGUUAGCUGUGACAAACGAGAUGGUAACUCUUUGUUUUCAUAGGAAAGAAGUACAUUUUUUUUCCAACAGAAAUGUUGGAGCAUUUGUCCAAUGUGCAACAUGUAAAAUACCACAAGAACUUCAAAUUUUGAGAGGUUAUCGUAUUUCUUUGAACCCAAACCUUGCGCCAAAAAAUAAGAACUGUAAAUGGGUACACCCUAGAGAUCAAACAAGAGGCAAGAGGCAAAAAUUAAUGUCGAAGGAAAACCAGAAGCAGUAGGUGGAUCAACACUUAGAAACCACAAGGGCAAUCAGGAGAUACUACCAAUCAUAUAACAUAAUGCAACACAAUAUUGGAGAACUAUUGAGAUGCUCAUAGAAAGGAGCUGGCUUUGGUCAGGUAAUCAAGUUUGAUUCAACAAAGCGAUUUUUCUUGAUGCAUCUUAUUUUAAAUUUUUAUGUUCAACGUUACGGUAGUUACAUACAAAAUCCCUCUACUAGAUUUCGAAGUGAACCUCCUAACCAAUUUGUUUUUUUUUUUUUUUGUAAGUUCUAUUUUAAUCAAAACCACUGGAUUAUUUAGUUCAAAUGGCUGAGAUAGGGAGUGAAAUGGAAGUAAAACUAAGGAGGAGUUGAUGGAACGACCCCCUUGUUAAAAUCAUUUAAGUUUUUUCAUUAAAGAUUUAAAGUAAAUGAUUUAUAGGCUUUGUCAAAUUUACCUUUUAUUUUAUUAUAACUAUUGAAGGUUUUAUUAAAUCCAAAGGAAAUUCUUGGAAGAAAUUAAAAUUUAUUGUAAGGGUUGUUGGUUAAUAGAUAGUCUAGAUAUUUCAUGUUUACCAGAUAAAAAAAUGUCAUAACUAAACUACUUGGAUAGUUAAAAAUUUAACAAGUCCUUCCACCUUUUAUGUUUUCUGACUUUUAAUUAGUUUAUGAACUUCACCCAUAACACAUAAGUCAUACCUAAUCAUUGGAAUAUCAACAAUAGUAAACAUAAUGCAAUACCCAAAAUACGCUAUUAAAACAUGUGUUAUUCGCUAAACAAUUAUAUAUCAUCAAAAAAAUUCUAUAUCAUCAACAAACAAAUAUAACAUAAGUCAUGUCAUUUGGUAAAAUAAUUGUGCAGCUAGAAAGAUUAAUAGAACUUCAUUAACUUUACCUACCCCAAAAUCUCUAAAAAUAGAUGGACGUGAACAUUUGUGCUGCAAUCAAUGUAACAUCCUUCUCUUUUAGAACAUCUUUGUCUCUACGUUUAUCAUGAAGUCCAAGUUGUAUCUUCUCUAACAUCUGAAAAAUGAAAAUUAGUAGUCAAUACACACACAACAUAUUUUCCAACAAUACUUAAAUAUCCAAAUCAGGUGAUAAAUUAAAGUUGAUUAAUUUAGAUCUACUUAAAUACCAAUUGUGUUACAGUGAUCAUAAUCAUCAUACUUGAGAUAAUUUUUUACUCUAUACAUCUAGGGUACUAAGAAUGAAGAAGAGGCGGGUGAUAGUUAGCGAAAGGACUUGGGAAAAAGAAUCGAAUACCAAAACUUAACUAAGAUACAUCCUUUGAGCUCAUGGAAUACUAGUUUGUGUUCCUUGAUCGAGACUUAGCUAGCAUGAGCCUGAGUUGAUCCAACUUAGCAACUAAAUUGUCUACCUCCAAUUAUUAAAUAAUCGUCUCAAAUCAAUAACCCCUGAAAGGAACUCCAUUUUCCAAAGAAAUAAAGUCAAAAAAGAUAUAAUUCCUACUUGGUCAUGGCAUAGAAAUUCUUAAAAUCUCUACAAAAAAGGGUUCCAUCCAACCCACACGUCCUCCCAAAAAAUCACCUUGUCUCCUCUAUCUACUUUGAACCCGCAUUAAAAUAUCACUUAAUUCUUCUAAUAUAUAUUUUCAUAUAACCUACACCCACGGAGAUAGCCACCUCACAAAUCAAAUUCUAGUGGGGACAACCAUACCCAAAAACAAUCAUUUAACUCCAAAGACGCUCAUAUUCAUUCUUGAAUCUCCAUAGCCAUUUAUAUAUCUAUAUAUAUAUCUAUAUAUCAGACCCCUACCAGUAGAUAUAUCAUGAAAACCUUACAAACUCCCUCCCACUAGAGUCAUCUGUUACAUAGCUAGUCAAGCAGCUUGACUUCUAGAGGGGGAGAAAAAAAAGUUUACACACAACUCAGAUGAGUUACAAAGGCUAGCAAUGAAGGUAAUCUGCUACCUUGUUGGUCCCCCUAUACACAUGAAAGACCUCUACUUCCACCAGCUUACUAAUCCAGUCCUUAAUCUUACAUAACAAAAAACAUUGACCCAGGUACAAAAAUUAGUUUUCUCAUUUUUACAAGUAAAAAGCAACCGUGGAUAAAACCUCCAACAAAAGAAAGGUCUAAACCUAGAAAAAAGAAUGAAAAACUAGAACAAAACAAAACUAAAAAAGGACAGUUCCUUGUUUUCUCUCCAUCUAUAUGCUCUACUUUCCCCUAUUUAAUUAAGUUGAUAAAAAAGAUAGCUUCUUAUCUGUAAUAAACCUAAUUACACAAACAAGAGGAAAAAAGAUUCAGGUAUCCCAGCUAUGAAUAGGUUGGAACAAACACCUAGAUCGAGUUAAAAGUUAAAACUAAGCAUAAGAUUCAGGCAAACCCAGCCAUGAAUAGGUUGGAGCAAGCACCUAGAGUCAAAACAAAGAGAUUUCUAUAUCAAAGAUUCCUAGCAUUGAUAUAUAUAUAGGUAACUAAUUGAAUAAUGUAUUCUUUCUAAUCAGGUUUUCUCUUUGGUGGAUUGCCGUAUAAUUCUAACAUAUUGUUUUUACACACAACUAUAAAAUAAAACAGUUUAUACAUAUACAGGGUUAUCGAUCUUCUUCGACUAAUUAAUUAGUAAGGUUUCCAGACAAAGUCAGAAGUACUGUUUCCAUAAACAGUUUGCCUGUAUCUCCAAAUGAAGGAACAUAUGGUGUUUAAGAGAGAAAUGGCUAGUUUAAGGAUACACAUAUACAUAACAUCUUUUGACCUAGCUUAACUCAUGCAGUGGUGUAACUAUAAGAGAAGAACACUGAAGCAUGCAUAUACAGUUUAAAUUGAACAGUAAUUAAUAAACAUUACAAGCUAGGUAUUACAAUUUACAACAAAGUGAGUAUAAUUAUGCAUGAACAUAAAUCAUAACUUUAGAAGAUGAAUAGAUGUUUAAAGAGCAGAAACAGGUUUUCUAAAGCUAAUUAAUGUAUGCAUAAAGAACACCAAUUGCGUGCAAUAUAUAUAUUAAAAACUCACUUACAGAUCCAAUUGCAUCGCUAGCUAUGUAGUACACGUUUCAUUUCAAAUCUGUACGUGUGUGUUCUCAAUCAUGAAGUUCUUAAGGAGAGAUGAUACUUGAUCCAUUGAUGAAGUAACCAAAUACCAAACCCUAGCUUGUUCAUCAUUUUAAUUUUAAUUUUCUCUUAGCUUUCUUCCCCAUUUCUGUUGAAAGAGUUUAUGAAUAAUAUUAAUAAUUAAUUAAUGAGUAAUUAGUAAAUAAAAAAAAAACACCAAAUUAAAUACCCUACCUCUUUGAUUUAACUCCAACAAGAUCAGAAUUUCAACCAUGAUUGAAGUUGUUCAGACGAGAAUGACAAGGGAAGAAUAAUCUUGUUAUCUCUUUCUCUCUCUUUUCUUUGACAUGAGAAGGGAAACUUUGCUACGUGUCUCUCACAAAGGUAAUGGGGUCAGCU
rnacentral:lncRNA from 1 species